UUAACUUCUGCUCUUCUUUCA
rnacentral:miRNA from 1 species